rnacentral:rRNA from 1 species
GGUUCAUUCAAAUUUCUGCCCUAUCAACUUUCGAUGGUAGGAUAGUGGCCUACCAUGGUAUCAACGGGUAACGGGGAAUUAGGGUCCGAUUCCGGAGAGGGAGCCUGAGAAACGGCUACCACACCCAAGGAAGGCAGCAGGCGCGCAAAUUACCCAAUCCCGACCGGGGAGGUAGUGACAAUAAAUACUGAUACAGGGCUCUUUUGGGUCUUGUAAUCGGAAUGAGUACAAUUUAAACCCCUUAACGAGGAACAAUUGGAGGGCAAGUCUGGUGCCAGCAGCCGCGGUAAUUCCAGCUCCAAUAGCGUAUAUUAAAGUUGUUGCAGUUACAAAGCUCGUAGUUG